AUUGAACGCUGGCGGCAGGCCUAACACAUGCAAGUCGAACGAGUGGCGGACGGGUGAGUAAUGUCUGGGAAACUGCCUGAUGGAGGGGGAUAACUACUGGAAACGGUAGCUAAUACCGCAUACCAUCGGAUGUGCCCAGAUGGGAUUAGCUAGUAGGUGGGGUAAAGGCUCACCUAGGCGACGAUCCCUAGCUGGUCUGCGAGGAUGACCAGCCAAACGGGAACUGAGGGACGGUCAUGACUCCUACGGGAGGAAGCAGUGGGGAAUAUUGCACAAUGGGCGCAAGCCUGAUGCAUCCAUGCAGCGUGUAUGAAGGAGGCCUUAGGGUUGUAAAGUACUUUCAGCGGGGAGGCGUUACCCGCAGAAGAAGCACCGGCUAACUCCGUGCCAGCAGCCGCGGUAAUAC
rnacentral:rRNA from 1 species